AAAGGCAUCUGUGCUUUUUCCUGUUGGUCAGCGGGUGACUCCUUCCUCCGUCGUCCCACCAUGCGUGCGGCCAUCUUUUGUUGCGUGCCUACACUGUCGAUGUCAGGCUGGGGACACACAGGACCGACCGAGCAUGGACAAGUCCCAGGUGGCCUUGGAAUGAACAAGCCCCUCCCUUCUCACGCGUACUUCUCGAGAAUACCUGAAGAAUGUGCCAGGAAUGCAACCACCUGGUCUAGGGAAGGACCGGCCGGACAGCCCUGGCUCUGCUCCUGUGCCUCCUAGGGCAGGAUGUCCCACACACUGUAGCCCUAUGAGUCACCCCUGGCUAUGGAACCCAGAGCAGAGUGCACCUUUGGGAUCUCUCAGCUGUGGUGUGA
rnacentral:lncRNA from 1 species